rnacentral:tRNA from 1 species
GGGGCUAUAGCUCAGCUGGGAGAGCGCAACACUGGCAGUGUUGAGGUCGGCGGUUCGAUCCCGCCUGGCUCCACCA